AACAGGUCCUUGCCACAGAGUGGUAUGCGCUCCUUCCCAACCCAGGCUGAGAAGAAUCAGAAUUAUAUUGGGCCAAGAUUUGAGAAGGAUCAGCCGGGAACAGACAAUGGGGGCUUGCCUUAGUCCAGCAGAUGACUCUGAUGUUUCGGGCCGCCGGACCUCUGCUCCGCUCUUCUUCCAUCCUUAUGUCAAAGGGUCCCAGAUUGUGAUGGACGAGUCGCACUCUAUCGCCAGCCGAGUAGCCACUUUCUGCAACGGCCUUGUCUUUUCCAACCGACCCGUGGAGCCUUAUGAGAAGGUGACCCUGAAGAUCUCCAAGGAAGAUGGAAAAUGGCACGGCGGCUUGAGGGUGGGCUUUACUUGGGAAGACCCUUCCCUCUGGGAGCCCAGGGAGCUGCCUCCGUUCGCUUGCCCAAACCUGGUCAACCAAGGAAAGACUCGAGCCUGCGUCUUGCCAGACGAAUACUGCGAGGAAGGCACCAUCGUCAGUUAUUGGGUGGACAACCAAGGCUGCGUUUUCUGCAGCAUCAAUGGGGAGCCAGAGGACAUCUUGCUCUUAGACGGUGUCUUGGUGACGUCUCCGCUUUGGGCCGUGAUGGACAUUUAUGGCAGGACCAAAGAGGUCCAGCUGCUGGAUCCCUCAAACCUACCCACAAAUAAUAACGUCCACAGCCCACUGCUGUUGGCCCACGAUGACCAGAUUGAGUCAAACCGGCAUGACUCCCACAGCCUCCUUGAAGGCCCAACCGGUGAUGAAUGCGCCGUGUGCUUUGGGCACAAGGCCAACACCAUGAUGCUGCCUUGCUCCCAUGCCAACUUCUGCGCCUGCUGCUCCUUGAAGAUCUUGAAAACCAGCGGCUGUUGCCCGUUGUGUCGGACAAAGGUAAAGAAAAUCCUUCACGUCUCUGGGUCGGCCGAAAGAGAGGGAAUGGAAGAUCAGUCGGACAAUGCAAAGGACAUCCAACCUCUUCGGUGACAAAACUGACCCUGCAAAAACACUUGGAAAUAUUUGCACUCUUGACGGGAGUGCGGAGGAACUGAAAAGGUGGAGAAAAGAUCAAGGUUAACACAGACCUCGCCUGGAACAUCAGAUGCAGAGAUGAAGGAUUACAAAGCACAAAAAGCAAUGACGGUAUCUUGAAGCACGUUCUCAUUCGGGCAAUUAUUGGAGACAUAACUAUAGUCACAAUAGCUCACAUUGUUCAUUCUGUCGGAGGAGGACUCUCUGAGGUCAAGAGGUACAACAGGAAACGUUGAUUUAAACAGACAAGCGCAGAUGAGAUAAAAGCAGGGAAAGCCCCUCUAUCAAUGGAGUUCUUUGGCCAAAAGGCUCAGCGGGGCAACAUUAGAUGAGAUAAGCAUCAUGAAACAGAGGAGGAAAUGCUCUCCUUGUAACAUUUCAAGGAAGCUGAUCAGAGUGGUGGCAAACUACAAGGGACAAAAAUACAACUUCAGUUAAGAUCCUAAUGAGAUAAACUUCACACACUAAUAUUAGUCCCAUUCACUUGUUAACAGAGAUUUUUGGCACUCAAUAAAGCUGGCUAUUUUUAAUCAGCAAAAGACUACAGGAGACUGAGUUUGUGUUAAACAAUUGGGAAACAUCCCAGCUCCACUUCCCAAUGCAGGAAAGCCUUCCCGCCUCAUCUGGCAAACAACUCACUCCUUUGCAAAUCCAACACGUUUUACAUGCAGCAGUUAUUGAACAAAACCAGCCCCUCUGAAAUGUUUGGGGGACCUGGUUGUUCCAUCAGAGGCUUUUAGGGGGAGGAGGAAGGGGAAGAGAAGUCCAAAGCAAGGUAGAGUGCAGAU